ensembl:lincRNA Crnde colorectal neoplasia differentially expressed (non-protein coding)
UGCUCCAGCAAUGCUGGUGUCAUGUUUGGAGGUAGCUGACUAUGGACUACAGUAUUCUCCCAGUGCCAGUCUGCAGUCACUGCAAAGCCUCCCAAUAGAACAUUUCUUCCUGAGCCAACCUAUCAGUGCAGCUCAGACUCUGGAAGCAAAUGACCUCUCCUGGCAGAGCCUUCACUGUGUGGGGAACAUCAGAUUUGUGUAAAGAAGAUCACCUGUCUCUUCUCAGGUGAGCACUGUAGAGAAGCUGCUGCGAAGGCCACAGGUCACUCAGGAAAAUUUGGGGCAGUUUUCUAGGUUCAAGGGAGACUGGACAUCAAAGCUGCACUGGGACAUCUGGAUGCCUUGAUCCACUUUGGCCAUUCCACCUCAGCUCAGAAUUACUCACUGGUGUCAGCACAGGAUGUUUCUUGGCUUCAAACCAUUUGGAUAAGUGAUGGCAGCAAGCUUCGCCACUGUAAAGUCACCUCUUUGUAAGAAGACAGGAGCUCUUUGUAAAGAAUAUGAGACCUGAGGCUGGGGGAUGGCUGAGAAGGGGAAAGCACCUCUGCUCAAGCGUGAGAAAAGGAGUUUGUUCUUCCACAUCCAUGUAGAAAUCUUGAUGCCGUGCCGUGAACCCCAGCUCUCCUACGGGAAGAUGGGAGGCGGAGGCAGGGGUUCAUCUGGAAGCUUGAGGCCAGCCACCCAGAUCCUCAGAGCUGCAGACAAAAGAGAGGCCCUGCAGCAAAAGAGUGGAAGGUGAGAACCAACUCCGGAAAGUUGCCCUCUGACCUUUACAAGUGUAUACAUCCACAUACAUACAAUAAAAUCAAUUGCUCAAUC